rnacentral:rRNA from 1 species
GACGAACGCUGGCGGCGUGCUUAACACAUGCAAGUCGAACGGUAAGGCCCUUCGGGGUACACGAGUGGCGAACGGGUGAGUAACACGUGGGUGAUCUGCCCUGCACUUCGGGAUAAGCCUGGGAAACUGGGUCGAAUACCGGAUAGGACCACUGCCUGCAUGGGUGGUGGUGGAAAGCUUUGGCGGUGUGGGAUGGGCCCGCGGCCUAGUAGGUUGUUGGGGGGGUGAUGGCCUACCAAGGCGACGCAGGGUAGCCGGGCUGGCAGGGUGACCGGCCACACUGGGACCUGGAUACGGCCCAGACUCCUACGGGAGGCAGCAGUGGGGAAUAUUGGACAAUGGGCGCAAGGCUGAUGCAGCGACGCCGCGUGAGGGAUGACGGCCUUCGGGUUGUAAACCUCUUUCAGCACCGACGAAGCGCAAGUGACGGUAGGUGCAGAAGAAGGACCGGCCAACUACGUGCCAGCAGCCGCGGUAA